UUUAUUGGGGGGGGGGAAUCCAAAAAAUUUGGGGUCGGAAUCGCAAAAUUUGGGGUCGGGGUACAAAAAAUGGGGCUGGGGUCCCGAAAUUUGGGGUCGGAAUCACAAAAUUUAGGGCUAGGACCCCGAAAUUUGGGGUCAAGGUCCCAAAAUUUGGGUCCAGAACCUCAAAAUUUGGGGUCGGAAUCACAAAAUUUGGGGCUGGGGUCCCAAAAUUUGGGGUCAGAAUGAGAAAAUUUGGGGUCGGGGUCCCAAAAUUUGGGUUCAGAAGCCUAAAAAUGGGGCUGGGGUCCCAAAAAUGGGGUUGGGGUCCAAAAAUUUGGGGUCAGAAUCACAAAAUUUGGGGUUGGGGUCCCAAAAUUUGGGGUUGGAGGGGUGAAAAUGGAGCUGGGGUCCCAAAAUUUGGGGUCAAGGUCCCGAAAUUUGGGGUCAGAAUCCCAAAAUUUGGGAUUGGGGUCCUAAAAUUUGGGGCUGGGGUCCCAAAAAUGGGGUCGGGGUCUCAAAAUUUGGGGUCAGAAUUACAAAAUUUGGGGUUGCGGUCUCAAAAUUGGGGGCGAGGACCCCGAAAUUUGGGGUUGAGACCCCAAAAAUGGGUCUGGGGUCCCAAAAUGUGGAUUGGGGACCCUAAAUGUGGGGCUGGGGUCUCAAAAAUGGGGUUGGGACCCCAAAAUCUGAGUCCAGAACCCCAAAAUUUGGGUUUGGGACCCCAAAAAUGGGGCUGGGUCGCCCAGAAUUUGGGUUCAGAACCCCAAAAUUUGGGUUUAGGACCCCAAAUUUGGGGAUGAGACCCCAAAAUCUGAGUCUGAGACCCCCAAAAUUUGGGUUUGGGACCCCAAAAUCAGAGGGUGAGACCCCAAAAUCUGAGAUUAAACCCCAAAAUUUGGGUUCAGAACCCCAAAAUUUGGGUUAAGGACCCCAAAUUUGGGGCCGGGGUAACAAAAUCGGGUCCAGAACCCCAAAAUUUGGGGCUGGGGUCCCAAAAAUUGGAACAGGUGACCCCUGGUGUGGUCAGUGUCCAUUUUAAUGUCCACUCUGUGUCCACUCUGUGUCCACUCUGUGUCCACUCCAUUCAUUUCUGGAUGGUCAGUUGGUCACUCCCAUGUGGUCAGUUGGUCAGUGGCCAUUCCUGGCUGGUCACUCAGUGGUCAGCGGUCACUCCAUGGUCAUUCUCAGGCCAGCACGUGGUCACUCAGUGGUCACUCAGUGGUCACUCUCAGGCCAGCCUAUGGUUACUCU
rnacentral:lncRNA from 1 species